rnacentral:lncRNA from 1 species
UACGGAAUUCCUUGCGUAGGAGAAAAACAAUAACUUCCAGUUGAACAAGAGCUAAAAGAAGGGAAGAUGUGACGGCAGCUCCAUUGAACAAUUUCUCUAAGUACAGACAGGCACCGCUUUCCACCCUCUGGUCACGUUCCACCUCCCAUUCUCAGGAAUUCUCUGGUAGGUGCACCUUGUUCAGAUAAGAACUGCACAGCAUUUCUUCGUGGGCCCCUGCAAGCCAUCCUUUGCAAUGGCACAGCCUCUAAACUUGGAGUUUUGCGGCCGUGGCUACUGUCCAGAGAAAGAGAAACACUUCAGAAGAAUUCUGGGUGAGCUUUCCAGGCUGAGGACAGAGCAGAAGCAAAAGCGUGGAGAUCCAGUGGAGUGUGUUCUUGGAUGACAAGAACACAGGAAGAGCGUGAAGAGUGCGUGGAUUAUCACAGUGGAAGGUGGAAUGAAAUUAAUUGAUAGAAGACAGGGGUUUAGGUUCCUGUACCAUUACAUACCUCAAACUUCAGGAAAGGAAGAAGCCAGGAACAGCAAUGUUUUAUACACUGUAGACAGAAGGGACAGCAAAGAGUGGCCCCUCAGGCAUCAGGGGCUCCACGUCAUCACAGAGACCAUAGAUAUAAAGUUCUCCAAGAAGCAGACACCAAGGUGUGAUUAAACAUGCAAGGAUUUUGAUUAAGGGAAAUGGCCGUGAGAGAAAAUGUGGAGGAAGCCAGGGGAGACUGGAGGAGCCAUCAGACCAUGAUGCGGUGUGGCCCAGAGUGAAAGAGAGCAGAAAGGAAGCUGCCCCUCCAGAGGAUUCAAAAACAGCUCUCCCUUCCUGGUCGGUGACGCCUGUCUCUCCUCCCAGGGGAGAACUACUUUGUUAUCUGAGUCAGGAGCAAUGGGCAUCUGUGCACAGCUGUUCAUGGGGUGACGCAGAGGGGAGAUUCAAUCAGGAACUUCAAGCACAUGGAGGGACGUUACCCACAAGAUGAACAGGAUCGCUCCCCCUUAGCAUCUCAGGGUCUCCUUGAGUUACUGUGUAACAGAGGACACAGAUUCACCACUCCCUCUGGCCCCAUGCACAGAACUGGCACCUACAGGUGGAAAUUUCAGGAAGGCAGGUUUCACUUUGACCCAAGGAACGAUUUUCUAGCAAGUGGAAUGGAGUGCUUCCUUUGGAAAGACGAGAUUGGCCUUCCAGAUUGCUAGAACUGUUCACUCAACAGUAGUUUGAACACCCAAGCCUUGCUGCCCCUCACAACUUUUUCUAGAGUCACUAUUCUACCCGGCGCUACUAUGUUUUGAUUGUUGUUUUAAGCCACUAAGUUUUGAC